CGGGCUAACAUCAGAUGAUAUAUAAUCACGACAUCGUGGAAAUAUCAAAUCUUCGGAGCCGUUGGGAUGAGCCUGCGUCUGAUUAGGUAGUUGGCGGAGUAAUACGCCCACCAAGCCUACGAUCAGUAGCGUGGUCUGAGAGGAUGAUCAGCCACACUGGAACUGAGACACGGUCCAGACUCCUACGGGAGGCAGCAGUAAGGAAUAUUGCUCAAUGGGGGAAACCCUGAAGCAGCAACGCCGCGUGAAGGAUGAAAUACUUUGUAUGUAAACUUCUGUAAGAUGGGAAAAAUAUUCUCCUCGGGAGAAUUGAUUGUACCAUCAGAGUAAGCCCCGGCUAACUACGUG
rnacentral:rRNA from 1 species